GGGGUUUUACCAUGUUAGCCGGGAUGGUCUCGAUCUCCUGACCUCGUGAUCUGCUGAUCUUGGCCUCCCAAAGUGCUGGGAUUACAGGUGUGAGCCACCAUGCCCAGCCUGGACAUGCUUCUUUUCUUAGCUAGUAGGUGAAACCCUACUCAUUCUUGUAUUCAUACACUCACAUUGUUUCAAAGUAACAAGUGUGAUAAUUGAAGGGAUGGUGUACAGGCUUCUACAAGCUACACUGUGAAUGAGAUGGUGUCCUCUCACCACGGCCCUUUCCACCUCCUCUCCACCCUUCUGGAGCCACUUGAGGCAUUGACCCU
rnacentral:lncRNA from 1 species